UACGUAGGGUGCGAGCGUUAAUCGGAAUUACUGGGCGUAAAGCGUGCGCAGGCGGUUCGUUGUGUCGGUGGUGAAAUCCCCGGGCUUAACCUGGGAAUGGCCAUGGAAACUGGCGAACUGGAGUGCGGCAGAGGGGGGUGGAAUUCCGCGUGUAGCAGUGAAAUGCGUAGAGAUGCGGAGGAACACCGAUGGCGAAGGCAGCCUCCUGGGCCAACACUGACGCUCAUGCACGAAAGCGUGGGGAGCAAACAGG
rnacentral:rRNA from 1 species